rnacentral:rRNA from 1 species
GAUGACUUGUCUUUGUCCCCUUUUUCUUUCCAAAUUCUAGGAUCAAAUGCUUUAUCGUAAAAAUUAAAAAAAUAAAGCCAGGGAUUACGUUAAUUACAUGGAAACCACAGUUUCACAAUAUUAGUCAAUGGCCUAACGGCUGAACUGGCAACUUGGAGAAGUGGCAAGUCCUAUUUUGAUCGUAUCUUUGAAUAUGAUCUAUAGGAUUGUAUUAAAAUUGAAUAAAGCUUUGUUUAUAUAUUGAUAAUGACAGUAUAUAUAUCGUGUCUUGACUAAUUGCGUGCCAGCAGUCGCGGUAAUACGUAAGAGACUAGUGUUAUUCAUCUUAAUUAGGUUUAAAGGGUACCUAGACGGUCAAUAUAACUUCUAGAAUGUUAGUACUUGACUAGAGUUUUAUGUAAGAGGGCAGUACUUGAGGAGGAGAGAUGAAAUUCUAUGAUACCAAAGGGACUCGGUAAAGGCGAAGGCAGCCCUCUAUGCGAAAACUGACGUUAAAGGACGAAGGCACAGAGCACAAACAGGAUUAGAUACCCAAGUAGUCUUUGCAGUAAAUGAUGAAUGCCAUAGGUUAGAUUAAGAUUUAAUAUUUUAAUUUAAAAUUAAAUAUUAAACAUUAUUUGGUCUAUAAAUGAAAGUGUAAGCAUUUCACCUCAAGAGUAAUGUGGCAACGCAGGAACUGAAAUCACUAGACCGUUUCUGACACCAGUAGUGAAGUAUGUUGUUUAAUUCGAUGAUCCACGAAAAACCUUACCACAAUUUGUAUAAUUAUAUUACAGGAGUUGCACGGCUGUUUUCAGUUAAUGUU